AUGCCAGGGAGGCCAGGCCAUUGCCUAAAUUUUAAAGUAAUGCCAGGGAGGCCAGGCCAUUGAGAGGAGGUUUGUAAAGCUAUGGGUUUCAAGUAUUUUGCCCAGCAAUGAGAAAGCUAUCUAAUACAAUGUGUCAAGCAGAAAUGGAAAAAGCAGAAACUAUGAAAAUUCAGGUGUGAGGCACUAUUGCUCCAAAGCUACAAGCAUGGAGGCUGAGGGGUAAUAAUGAGGUGAAAAUCAGAACAAGUUUAGCCAUAGAAGGUUGAAGAAUAUUAAUAGGUGGCCCAAAGUCUUAUUUUUUUACAAAAAUGGGAAGUUAGCUGCAGAACCUCAGUACCCUCAAAUGUCAUUGGGAAGGGAUAGAAUAUAUCCUGCCCGCCGCACCCCCCCUUGCUGAAGUAUUAAUUUGCCCUUUCUCUGCUGUCUCAUAAGCAUUUAUAUCAACGUUCACAAGCUUUCAGCUCUGAUUUAGGAGGCAGUUCUUCAAAGACAGAGUAAAGAUCUUCAAUUUCUUCUUCAUCCCUGUCCAGCACUCUGCACAAGAGCUGGUGUUCAAUAAAUGUUUUUGGAACUCAGAUAUGAGGGAUGA